rnacentral:rRNA from 1 species
CAAUAGCGUAUAUUAAAGUUGUUGCGGUUAAAAAGCUCGUAGUUGGAUUUCUGCUGAGGACGACCGGUCCGCCCUUCGGGUGAGUAUCUGGUUUGGCCUUGGCAUCUUCUUGGUGAACGUAUCUGCACUUGACUGUGUGGUGCGGUACCCAGGACUUUUACUUUGAGGAAAUUAGAGUGUUUCAAGCAGGCAUACGCCUUGAAUACAUUAGCAUGGAAUAAUAAGAUAGGACCUCGGUUCUAUUUUGUUGGUUUCUAGAGCUGAGGUAAUGAUUAAUAGGGAUAGUUGGGGGCAUUCGUAUUUAACUGUCAGAGGUGAAAUUCUUGGAUUUGUUAAAGACGGACUACUGCGGAAGCAUUUGCCAAGGAUGUUUUCAUUGA